CCUACGGGAGGCAGCAGUGAGGAAUAUUGGUCAAUGGGAGAGAUCCUGAACCAGCCAAGCCGCGUGAGGGAAGACGGCCCUAUGGGUUGUAAACCUCUUUUGUCGGAGAACAAAACCCGGGACGUGUCCCGGACUGCGUGUAUCCGAAGAAAAAGCAUCGGCUAACUCCGGGCCAGCAGCCGCGGUAAUACGGAGGAUGCGAGCGUUAUCCGGAUUUAUUGGGUUUAAAGGGUGCGUAGGCGGUCCGUUAAGUCAGCGGGAAAAUUGCGGGGCUCAACCCCGUCGAGCCGUUGAAACUGGCAGACUUGAGUUGGCGAGAAGUACGCGGAAUGCGCGGUGUAGCGGUGAAAUGCAUAGAUAUCGCGCAGAACUCCGAUUGCGAAGGCGGCGUACCGGCGCCAGACUGACGCUGAGGCACGAAAGCGUGGGGAUCGAACAGGAUUAGAUACCCUAGUAGUC
rnacentral:rRNA from 1 species